rfam:[Oscillatoria] sp. PCC 6506, WGS project CACA01000000 data, contig: Contig259
GCCGGGAUAGCUCAGUUGGUAGAGCAGAGGACUGAAAAUCCUCGUGUCCCGGGUUCAAGUCCCGGUCCUGGCA